AAAGGAGGUGACUAGGUUCUCUUUUCUUCCAAAGUCAAAACCAGAUAGGAAACCUUUGAAGAUGCAUAGGAACAUGUCAUGGUAGGGUGGUGGGCUCCUCUUCAGAUCCCACAUAGCAGCUGGGGCCAGCCAGGGCGAGAUCAAGGGUGAAUGUAGGUAGAUGCCAGCAAGGGAAGAGCAUGAUCAGAGACUAUGAGUGGGCUGGGAGUGAGGGCAGGAGCCAGGAGGCAGGACCAGAGCUGACAGAAACCAGAGAACAGGCACUAAAGCAGGAAAAAUACCCCCACACGUGCCACAGGAGGCCAUGCCUUGCCAGUAUGAGGACUCACCAGAAUUUACAAUGAGAUGGAAUGAAGGAACUACACAGGGCUAGGAAGGGAUUCUCAAAUUGUGAUUGCAACCUGUCUACCCCUAUUAACAGCAACAUUUAUUGAGUAAAGUGUCAGGCCCUGUACCAAGAUUUAAUUUAGAUUUAAUUGUCUCUGGAGCCUUGCCGUGGAGGUAGUGUUCGUCUUGGCCUUUGACUACCUGGGAGAAAAAAUAAAUUAUUUCCAUAAAUACAGUGAUCAGAGUCAAAAGAAGUCACAGUGUGUAUUAGUUAUCUAUUGCUGCACAGUAGAU
rnacentral:lncRNA from 1 species